rnacentral:tRNA from 2 species
AAGAGUUUAGGUUAAUAAAAGACCAAAGGCCUUCAAAGCCUUAAGUAGAAGUGAAAAUCCUCUAACUCUUG